rnacentral:rRNA from 1 species
AACGCUGGCGGCAUGCCUUACACAUGCAAGUCGAACGGCAGCACGGGAGCAAUCCUGGUGGCGAGUGGCGAACGGGUGAGUAAUAUAUCGGAACGUGCCCAGUCGUGGGGGAUAACGUAGCGAAAGCUACGCUAAUACCGCAUACGAUCUAUGGAUGAAAGCGGGGGAUCGCAAGACCUCGCGCGAUUGGAGCGGCCGAUAUCAGAUUAGGUAAUUGGUGAGGUAAAGGCUCACCAAGCCGACGAUCUGUAGCUGGUCUGAGAGGACGACCAGCCACACUGGUACUGAGACACGGACCAGACUCCUACGGGAGGCAGCAGUGAGGAAUAUUGGACAAUGGGCGCAAGCCUGAUCCAGCCAUGCCGCGUGCAGGAUGACGGUCCUAUGGAUUGUAAACUGCUUUUAUACAGGAAGAAACACUCCGACGUGUCGGAGCUUGACGGUACUGUAAGAAUAAGGAUCGGCUAACUCCGUG